AGGUGCUACAAAAGCUUAAAUAUGAGCUAAAACAUUGUAAAGACGAGUUGGAUUCAGCUGAAGGAACUAUUGAAACCUUGACAGCUGAAAGAUUUUAGAACAAAAGCUAUAUGUGCUUGAGAAGAAGAGUGCUGAAGAGAUGAGUUUGAUUCUUAAUCUCACAUUUAAAAUGGAAGAUGGAAAUGUUUGUAGAUGAGUUUUUAUUGUAGCUGUUGGCAAUUGAAGGAGUUGAAGGUAAUGGGAGAAAAGGAUAAUGAAGCUCAUGAAAAUAACUCAUGUUUUAUAUCGAUUAUGUUUUUUUUGGUUGUGCUGGUGUUAUUAAAUUUAAACUGGCUGUAUUAAAUUUGAGCAAACAUUUAUACACUAAAAAAACUUUGAUUUUUAUGGUU